GAAGGGGGAGGGAGAGAGAGAGGAGAGAUGAAUAUUGGGAAUGACAUUCUAGCUCAAAAUAAUUCUAAUAUUUAAAAUUUACUAUAAAAUAGAAGUAAAAAAUGAGCCACUAAGUAGUUCUAUUUUUACAAUAUAUAGAUUUAAAGACUAAAUAGUAAGUUUUUAAUAGUAAAAUAAUAAUAAUAAUUAGAUUUUUCUUUUUUAAACAAAUCUAAGACACAUAAGAUGCAUUUUAAUAAGGCAUAAAGGCAAUUUACAAGAUGUGGAUGUAGAAGAAGGCUAAAGUAUACAAAAUGGGUAAACCCAAAUCCCUUUACUGACUAGCCCAAACCAAACCCAUGAUCCACCGACACCCAAACCCAUUAGAGAUUUUAAGCUCUUCGUCUGUCUUUCGAGGUCUCCAACUCCAUCAGCAACCACAAGACUAUCGAGCUCCAUCCUAAGCAUCUACAGGUAGAUUUCCUAGAAACUUUUGAACCACGAAGGACACGUGCUAGAAGAUCCAUAAAUGGCCAAACUGAUUGCAUGCAGGUAAGGAACUUCUCAAUUGAGGCACAAGUAUAAGCUCCAGUAUUGUGGCCUAUAAGAAGCCAAAUCAUUGAAACGUGUAGCCAUCAACUCCCCGAAGCUCCAGCCACCAAAUGAUUGUACCAUCUUCAUCGAGUACAAAUUCAGGGCUACACCCAAGUAACAGAAUGAUGGAAACCCUCUCCAUACAAGUCAAGAUUUGUAAAACAUAUAGAGAAUCAGAAAACCAAACAAAUCAAUGCUGAAUCAGCACUGGUGAAAGAAACCAACAUCAUAAAGUUAUCCAAAAAGCAAAACAAAUCAAAACAGACCUUCUUCUAGGCAAGCCAAUACAAAAUGGUCAAACCAAGAGAAGCUCCCCGAAGUAUUUUUCUCACUUUCUGAUAACAUUUAAUAAAUAAUAAAACGAUGUAUAGUGCUCUCUCCCUGCACUUGUCAGAGCUGUCGUUUUAUAUAUCCAAUCUUGUGUUUUAGUAAAUUUAAAUCGUUAAUUUAUGUAAUUCUGAAUUGUAUUGAGAUAAAUCGUUAAUUUAUGUAAUUCUGAAUUGUAUUGAGAAAAAACGAUUAAAAUUAAAUGAAUUUAUUUAAUUCAGUUUUUUUCAGUACAACGAUUUAGUUUUAUUUUUAAUUUUUAAAAAAUUCAAUUAUUUAGUUUUCACAUUUGUUUGGAUAGAUGAGAAAUAAAGUAUAAGAUGAGAAAAAAUAUGAUAAUAAUAAAAUAAUAUUAUUUUAUUAAAAUUAUCAUUUUAUCCACACUUUCGUAGGUUUAUUUUUUUAUUCUGCCACAAAAAGUUUCAUACAAUUGAAAUAAUUCUAUAACAAAUUAUUAUAAAAUUUCUGAUAAAAAAAUUAUUAUAAAAUAAUAAUACAUUCUCAUAUCCAUCAAAAUUUUAUAUUAUAUUUUUAUUAUAUAUCCAAAAUGAAAUAAAAUUUACUUUUUAUUUUUUAAUAAUGCAAACCUGUAAAUAUAUCGUAGGGCUAAAAUCCCUACUUUCUUUUACAAUUGCUCACAAAGCUAUAAGUAAAGCUGUAAAGGUCUAUAUUCUUAAAAACGGCAUAUAUUCUUCAAAAAAAAAAAGCCUUAUAUUAAAAAAUAAUAAUUAAAAAAAAAAAAGUUGAGGGAUGUGCAUUUCAUUUCACGAGUAACAGCACGCUUUUCACUUUAAUUCUCGUGCUUUCUCGUUUCUAUCGGUUUUGGACAGAAAAUUAGGGUGACAACGGAUUGGGUAUUUUUGGCUACUCGAUCUGAAUAAAUUUUAAUAGAAUAAAUUUAAGUAGUUAUAAUCGGAUUUGAUAUGGAUUCAGAUUUUAAAAAUAAUAUUCAUUACAGUUCAGAUCGGAUUCAAAUUUUAUAUAUAAGUGUUCACUAUCUGAAUUUAUUUAUAUAAAUAAUUAAUUUAAUAUAAAAAAAUAUAUUUUAUAAUAAUAUUUAUAAAUUUUUUAUAUAUUUUUAUUUAAAAAUUUAAAUUUAAAUAUUCUUUAGAAAUAUUAAAUUUUUUAAAUGAAAAUUAUUAAUGAAAAAUAUUUUUUAUAUAAAUUAUUAAUUAAAAUAUAUAAAAUUAAAUAAAUUUAAAUAAUAAUAAUUGAAUUUGAGAUGAAUUUAAAUAAUUUAAAUUAAAUUUUAAACAGAUUUAAAAUAAAUUCAAAUAUUACUCGUAUAAAUUGGUUCGGAUAGUUUAAGUUUUGAGGGUACCAUUUACAUCCCUACAGAAAAUAACUGAAGGAAAAUCCUCUUUUGUUUUUGUUUUUUUCCAUCUUUCCAAUACCAUUUUUUCCUGAGUUUAUUUUCUAUGCUCUCCUCUUCCACGCAGAGGGUCCCUUACCUUCUCUAUAUCUUGCUCGAUUGUCCCAUGAGCAGACGACACAGGCGGCGAGCAGCAAUUCAUCUUUGGUGAUCUGCAUCUUCAUGUCUCGUAGGUCGAAUACUUGAAACCUUAUCGGCGUCUCUCGUUAUUC
rnacentral:lncRNA from 1 species